rnacentral:RNase_MRP_RNA from 2 species
UCCGCGUUCGAAGAAUCGCAUUCAAAGCUCACGCACAGCAGAAGUCUCUCCAGAUAUCUGCAGACCCGAAAUGCCCAAGGCAACAAGGGCAAAGCUUUGGGAGAAAGUCCCCGGACCACCCUACCUCUCUCUCUUCGUGAGAGAGAGAACGUCAGGACCUGCCGAGAGGCAACCGCCAUAAAAGCAACCUUUCACUGCGGUUUCUUUUUUCCGCCUCCCACUCUUCUCCGAGUCAUCCCUCCUCUUCGAGAUCCGACCUCACUAUCGGCUGCAUUCUCCUCUGAGUCCCCGUUGUCCUUGCGUCUCGAAGUGGAAUGAAUGAGGGAAGAGUUUUGUCGAGGGGAUGGAUGAAGAUAUGAGUCCGUCGCCGUGAAGACAAGCUUCUUCUUUUUCUGAAGCGGAGAGGCCUUGGAUUUUUGGGGUUUCACGAAGGGAAGAGAUGGCGAGGGUCUAUACCAUUGGGAGAUCUAUGGGGCAGUCUGGAUACUUGGGGAGCUCAAAGAGUGAUUUUUGGAGGUUGCGCAAUUCGUCAUAUGUCGAAAGUUAUGCGAUUGCUCUUCCACCACCCAUUUCCGUCCCUGCGGCGGUUGGGCCACGGAGAGUAACUCGAUGGGGCUUAUUCUUGAGGCGCGG